UUGACAGUACUGGUGACCAAAGUCCUCUAUCCACAGAACAGAUAUAGUAUGACCAGCAGCAGUGCAAACUUCUCCAUAUUACCCCCACCAACAAACCUCAACUUUGAAGUCAGGGGAAUCCCAUCUAGAGGUUACAGGCGAGAGGAUAAUUUUGUUUCAAUGACAGUUUAAUCUUUCAACUCU
ensembl:misc_RNA